ACUAGGUGGGGCUGUAUAGAGAUUAUACCCCACUUUACUAGGUGUGGCUGUAUAGAGAUUAUACCCCACUUUACUAGGUGGGGCUGUAUAGAGAUUAUACCCCACUUUACUAGGUGGAGCUGUAUAGAGAUUAUACCACACUUUACUAGGUGGGGCUGUAUAGAGAUUAUACCCCACUUUACUAGGUGGGGCUGUAUAGAGAUUAUACCCCACUUUACUAGGUGGGGCUGUAUAGAGAUUAUACCCCACUUUACUAGGUGGGGCUGUAUAGAGAUUAUACC